rnacentral:rRNA from 1 species
CCUACGGGUGGCAGCAGUGGGGAAUAUUGGGCAAUGGGCGCAAGCCUGACCCAGCAACGCCGCGUGAAGGAAGAAGGCUUUCGGGGUGUAAACCUCUUUUGUCAGGGACGAAGCAAGUGACGGUACCGGACGAAUAAGCCACGGCGAACUACGUGCCAGCAGCAGCGGUAAUACGUAGGUGGCAAGCGUUAUCCGGAUUUGUGGGGUGUAAAGGGCGUGUAGGUGGCAAGGCAAGUCAGGUGUGAAAACCAGGGGCUCAACCCAUGGACUGCAUUUGAAACUGUAUUUCUUGAGUGCUGGAGAGGCAAGCGGAAUUCCUGGUGUAGCGGUGAAAUGCGUAGAUAUACGGAGGAACACCAGUGGCGAAGGCGGAUUACUGGACAGUAACUGACGCUGAGGCGCGAAAGCGUGGGGAGCAAACAGGAUUAGAUACCCCAGUAGUC